UGGGGAAUAUUGCACAAUGGGCGAAAGCCUGAUGCAGCAACGCCGCGUGAGUGAUGAAGGCCUUCGGGUUGUAAAGCUCUGUCUUUUGGGACGAUAAUGACGGUACCAAAGGAGGAAGCCACGGCUAACUACGUGCCAGCAGCCGCGGUAAUACGUAGGUGGCAAGCGUUGUCCGGAUUUACUGGGCGUAAAGGAUGCGUAGGCGGAUUUUUAAGUGAGAUGUGAAAUACCCGGGCUUAACUUGGGUGCUGCAUUUCAAACUGGGAAUCUAGAGUGCGGGAGAGGAGAAUGGAAUUCCUAGUGUAGCGGUGAAAUGCGUAGAGAUUAGGAAGAACACCAGUGGCGAAGGCGAUUCUCUGGACCGUAACUGACGCUGAGGCAUGAAAGCGUGGGUAGCAAACAGGAUUAGAUACCCUGGUAGUCCACGCCGUAAACGAUGAGUACUAGGUGUAGGAGGUAUCGACCCCUUCUGUGCCGCAGUUGACACCAAUAAGUACUCCGCCUGGGAAGUACGAUCGCAGGAUUAAAACUCAAAGGAAUUGACGGGGUCAUAGCUGUUUCCU
rnacentral:rRNA from 1 species